AUCAGUUCUUGGCCUUUUGCCUAAGACCGCGGUGUAGUCUUUAUUCCUAUCAGCCUAAUAUCCGGUACGGGGGACGUUGUUCCCCAAGAUAUUGAACUACUACAUUUUGGAACAGUGUGUCCCGGGUGUCCGGAUCUUGCUCUUCCACCUCGCUCCUGUACCGGGCUGGUACGAUAUAGCAUUACCUCCACGAUAGGCCCACUAAAA
rnacentral:snRNA from 1 species